rnacentral:rRNA from 1 species
AACUGCAAAGAAGGAGCUGCCGAAGGCGGGACCGAUGACUGGGGUGAAGUCGUAACAAGGUAGCCGUAUCGGAAGGUGCGGCUGGAUCACCUCCUUUCUAAGGAA